AGAGUUUGAUCAUGGCUCAGGAUGAACGCUAGCUACAGGCUUAACACAUGCAAGUCGAGGGGCAGCAUCAUCAAAGCUUGCUUUGAUGGAUGGCGACCGGCGCACGGGUGAGUAACACGUAUCCAACCUGCCGACAACACUGGGAUAGCCUUUCGAAAGAAAGAUUAAUACCGGAUGGCAUAGUUUUCCCGCAUGGGAUAAUUAUUAAAGAAUUUCGGUUGUCGAUGGGGAUGCGUUCCAUUAGGCAGUUGGCGGGGUAACGGCCCACCAAACCUACGAUGGAUAGGGGUUCUGAGAGGAAGGUCCCCCACAUUGGAACUGAGACACGGUCCAAACUCCUACGGGAGGCAGCAGUGAGGAGUAUUGGUCAAUGGACGAGAGUCUGAACCAGCCAAGUAGCGUGAAGGAUGACUGCCCUAUGGGUUGUAAACUUCUUUUAUACGGGAAUAAA
rnacentral:rRNA from 1 species